rnacentral:rRNA from 1 species
AUACGGAGGGUGCAAGCGUUAAUGGGAAUUACUGGGCGUAAAGGGUUCGUAGGCGGUUAUUUAAGUCAGAUGUGAAAGCCCCGGGCUCAACCUGGGAAUUGCAUCUGAUACUGGGUAACUAGAGUUUAAGAGAGGAGUGUGGAAUUUCCGGUGUAGCGGUGAAAUGCAUAGAGAUCGGAAGGAACAUCAGUGGCGAAGGCGGCACUCUGGCUUAAAACUGACGCUGAGGAACGAAAGCGUGGGUAGCAAACAGGAUUAGAAACCCGUGUAGUCC